rnacentral:misc_RNA from 1 species
CAAUGAGUGUUUUAUGGCACUUUUUAAAUCCAUAUCCACCUUGUGUGCAAUGUCAGUUGGUCUUCUUUAUGGAGAUCGACCAAACAUCAACCUAUUUUUUAACUCUUUGUCUGAAAAAUAUUAUGAAUAAAAUAAUUCAAAAUA